AAUCAACGCUGGCGGCGUGCCUCAGACAUGCAAGUCGAACGAUUAAGACUUCCUUCGGGAAGUGCAUAAAGUGGCGCACGGGUGAGUAACACGUAAGUAAUCUACCCUCGAGUGGGGAAUAACGUUCGGAAACGGACGCUAAUACCGCAUAAUGCAGCGGCAUCGCAAGAUGACAGUUGUUAAAGGAGUAAUUCGCUUGAGGAGGAGCUUGCGGCAGAUUAGCUAGUUGGUAAGGUAACGGCUUACCAAGGCUACGAUCUGUAUCCGGUCUAAGAGGACGGUCGGACACACUGACACUGAAUAACGGGUCAGACUCCUACGGGAGGCAGCAGUCGGGAAUUUUGGGCAAUGGGCGAAAGCCUGACCCAACAACGCCGCGUGAAGGAUGAAGUAUUUCGGUAUGUAAACUUCGAAAGAAUGAGAAGAAUAAAUGACGGUACCAUUUAUAAGCUCCGGCUAACUACGUGCCAGCAGCCGCGGUAAAAC
rnacentral:rRNA from 1 species